UAAUUCCUGUGCAACCCCAAGUUCCCACCAGCGUUGAGCUUGACCUUCAAAACACUCCCCAGAAACUGGAGUGAGAAAUGUUGAAAUGCCACAUGAAAGGCCUUGCUUAGAGGGUUUCCAGCUGAGACUGGAGAUUGAAGUGGCGAACAUUCUCACAAGGGAUCCAGGCCUUCAGGAUAUUUCCAAACAAACCUUGUGGCCCCUCGGGGACAAGGGUAAACUUACGAGUGAGCUCUGGCUGCUAUUUUGUGACAUGAUUCCACACUCACCUGAUCUCUGACGAUAAGACCAGUCAUCAACACAAUAUGUGGUGCCUGUCCAGAAAUUAGUCCUGGACAGAGCAACUUCAGGUAACUAACAAAUUGAUAGCAGCACCAUUAGAGAGAAAUCAAGGAAAACCUACACUUUGGAUCCCACCAGUCCUGGUUAUUUAAAAGAAGCUGUUUUAUCAGGGCGCCUGGGUGGCUCAGUGGGUUGAGCCUCUGCCUUCAGCUCAGGUCAUGAUCUCAGGGUUCUGGGAUCGAGUCCCGCAUUGGGCUCUCUGCUCUGCAGGGAGCCUGCUUCCUCCUUCCUCUCUCUCUGCUUGCCUCUCUGCCUACUUGUGAUCUCUCUCUGUCAAAUAAAUAAAAUCUUUAAAAAAAA